rnacentral:rRNA from 1 species
GAUGAACGCUGGCGGCGUGCCUAAUACAUGCAAGUCGAGCGAACGGACGAGAAGCUUGCUUCUCUGAUGUUAGCGGCGGACGGGUGAGUAACACGUGGAUAACCUACCUAUAAGACUGGGAUAACUUCGGGAAACCGGAGCUAAUACCGGAUAAUAUUUUGAACCGCAUGGUUCAAAAGUGAAAGACGGUCUUGCUGUCACUUAUAGAUGGAUCCGCGCUGCAUUAGCUAGUUGGUAAGGUAACGGCUUACCAAGGCAACGAUGCAUAGCCGACCUGAGAGGGUGAUCGGCCACACUGGAACUGAGACACGGUCCAGACUCCUACGGGAGGCAGCAGUAGGGAAUCUUCCGCAAUGGGCGAAAGCCUGACGGAGCAACGCCGCGUGAGUGAUGAAGGUCUUCGGAUCGUAAAACUCUGUUAUUAGGGAAGAACAUAUGUGUAAGUAACUGUGCACAUCUUGACGGUACCUAAUCAGAAAGCCACGGCUAACUACGUGCCAGCAGCCGCGGUAAUACGUAGGUGGCAAGCGUUAUCCGGAAUUAUUGGGCGUAAAGCGCGCGUAGGCGGUUUUUUAAGUCUGAUGUGAAAGCCCACGGCUCAACCGUGGAGGGUCAUUGGAAACUGGAAAACUUGAGUGCAGAAGAGGAGAGUGGAAUUCCAUGUGUAGCGGUGAAAUGCUCAGAGAUAUGGAGGAACACCAGUGGCGAAGGCGACUUUCUGGUCUGUAACUGACGCUGAUGUGCGAAAGCGUGGGGAUCAAACAGGAUUAGAUACCCUGGUAGUCCACGCCGUAAACGAUGAGUGCUAAGUGUUAGGGGGUUUCCGCCCCUUAGUGCCGCAGCUAACGCAUUAAGCACUCCGCCUGGGGAGUACGACCGCAAGGUUGAAACUCAAAGGAAUUGACGGGGACCCGCACAAGCGGUGGAGCAUGUGGUUUAAUUCGAAGCAACGCGAAGAACCUUACCAAAUCUUGACAUCCUUUGACAACUCUAGAGAUAGAGCCUUCCCCUUCGGGGGACAAAGUGACAGGUGGUGCAUGGUUGUCGUCAGCUCGUGUCGUGAGAUGUUGGGUUAAGUCCCGCAACGAGCGCAACCCUUAAGCUUAGUUGCCAUCAUUAAGUUGGGCACUCUAAGUUGACUGCCGGUGACAAACCGGAGGAAGGUGGGGAUGACGUCAAAUCAUCAUGCCCCUUAUGAUUUGGGCUACACACGUGCUACAAUGGACAAUACAAAGGGCAGCGAAACCGCGAGGUCAAGCAAAUCCCAUAAAGUUGUUCUCAGUUCGGAUUGUAGUCUGCAACUCGACUACAUGAAGCUGGAAUCGCUAGUAAUCGUAGAUCAGCAUGCUACGGUGAAUACGUUCCCGGGUCU